CGCAGUGCCUCGGCGCGAGGCUCGGCCAGGCUCGCCCGGAGUCAGCCACGGCGGCCGGCUAAGGCUGCGCCGCGAGUGACAGGCUCUGGCGCGAGAGAAUGACCCCGCAGGGUACCUGAGCCGAAAUGAAUCCCUCAUACACGGUUUUCUCCCGGUUCUGAGGAAGCAGCAGCGGGAAGUGGCGCAACAGGGCCUGAAAAUUCUUGUGCCUCAAGCAAACGUUCCUCAGGUUGCCAAUGAAGAAUAGGCACCUAAGUCAUUUCGCAUGGACAGGAAUACCUUUGAGACAUGUCUGCUCCUGCAGCACCAAUCCACUUCAGAGAAGAUGAUGGACAUUGAAGAAACUCCAUGUGGAGUUUACUAUCACUGUGACAAAAGUUAGCCACUGGGCGAGAAAGUGCCCUUGCCUCGAUUGCUGACAGUAUGUUGUCCAAAAUGGACAAGAAGGACACAAAAAAAGUGACUGCUGAACCUUGCCAAGAUAAGGUAUUAAGGGCCUGCUGGAACGAGCAUCUUAUGAUCCUUUCUAAAAGAAGAUCAAAGGAUUGGGGUAUGACCUGCUGCAGAGGAGGAGAGAGGAGAAAUCAAAGAGCCCCCUGAUUUUUCAAAUGCCAUGACUCCAUGUUUAGGGUAGUAAAGCCUAGAACUUGUCCAAUUUAUGUUGCUUCCCUCCUGCUGAAGACCCAACCCUGUGCUUGAGAUUUCAGAACUUUCUGUCUGUUCUAAGACUGAAUUUCCUUUUGUUAUCCAUGUAUUUUAUUUUCAACUGAUUUUCUUACCAUCUUAGUCACUGUUCUACUGCUAUGAAGAAAUACCAUGACCAAGGCAACUCUGAAAGCAUUUAAAUGGGGACUUACUUACAGUUUCAGAAGCUCAGUCAGUCCAUAAUCAUCAAGGUAGGAAGCAUGGUGGCAUGCAUGGUGCUAGAGCAAUGGCUAAGAGCUUUACAUUCUGAUGCAAAGGCAGAGAGAGGGAGAGAGACUGGCCUGCCAUAAGCUUUGGAAACCUCAAAGCCCACCCCCAGUGACAUACUUCCUCCAAGAAGGUCACACCUACUCCAACAAGGCCACACCCCUAAUCCUUCCAAGCAGUGCCACUUGCUGGUGACUAAGUAUUCAAAUAUAUGAAGCUAUGGGGGCCUCAUUCUCAUUCCAGCCACCGACUACACUCACCCUCUCCACAGGUUUGGCCACCCCCAAGUCUUAAAUAAACACUUCUGCUCCCCGUCCCCAUCCUUUCCCUUUUCAGCUUCCACCACUGUCCCUUGUGCUAAAUUAGUUUGAUCAGAGGGAGCACGUUGCUCCCUCUGUAGCUCUCCAGUAUUCAGGCUUCCUGUAGUCCCUUUGGAGGGCUUGGUUACCUUCAGAUGCCAAGUCGAGUUGUCAUGCUUUGCCUCUUAUCUUCUUGGGUUGUUUGACACUAUUGACAUUGUCUUAAACUCUCUCUUCUGUUGGUUGACGUUUCCUGUUGCUUCCUUCUUGUCUGUCAUCUCUGUACAUUUCUGUGUUUAUGAUUCUUUCCACAGUGACACCCCAAGAAGUUUUUCACUUACUAAUCUCUUUUCACUUUGUAAAUUCUGUAAAUGUCUAGCAAUUUCAUCAUUUUUCAUGAUUUUGAGUGUUAUUUAAACUAACAAACUCAGUGAAUAUUCCUCUCCUCUUUAGGUAUUCAACUACCUACCUACAAUAUCCCUUUAGAUGUCCUGUAAUAACCUUAUUUGUAUCUUAUCUGAAUGAAGCACAUCUCUACCCACCUCUCCUUGUGUUUCACAUUUUUCUCUCCUGUGAAUUCAGUGAUGGUGGUGCAUCUAAACACAGUCUGUCACUCCUCUGCUUAAACACUUUUUGGCACUUUACCACCUGAAGGUAGAACUUUCUGUUGGUGUGAUGAAGGACCUGGCUCUUCCUUACCUAUCUCUCUAGCCUCACCUCCACACUCACCCAACUUCAUGGUUUAAGAUUUAGAAAACCCAAACUAUUUACACUCUUCCAAAAUCUCUAUUUUGUGAUGGGCAUCUUUGCCCAUGCUAUAUCUGUCUGAAAUACUAGUAAAAACUAUUGGGAAUAUACUAUCUGGCUCUCAUUCAUCUUUCAAAACUCAUUCCAAACAACACCGUCUCUAGACUUUAUCAACCAAUAACUGCGGAAACAGGAGAAAUCAAUGCAAUUCACCUCUGAGAGCAGAACUUGCCAGGGCUGAGCUUUCAUGAUUAUCUGUGCUCCUUGGUGGAUAUUUUUGAAGUAUACACCAAAGACUAGGUGCUCAUGCACAAACCAGUGUUUCAACAACAUCAUUCCCUUCAAAAUACUCUUAUACUAAAAUAUUUGGGAACCUCACUGUUUCUGCAUUUGGUUUUGAUUUCAUUGUAUUUUCCACUUUGAUGGUAAUUAAAUAGAAUUACUAGGUACGAAGUAGUGUUACUGUUUUCUAGUUACUGGGUUAGAUCAGUCAAGUAAGGAACCGUCUGUGGGUGCCCAACUGUGCCAUGACUCAGGGGUCCUGGAGUGUGGUCCACUUUGUGGACAUUUUACAUGAUGACUAAAGCACUGAAGGGCACCCAGUUUCUGUCAGGUGCUGUAACCUAAAAUAUUACAUUUCUAGUACAUUCUCCAGUUAUUCUUGAGAAUAAGAAGAAAGGAAGGAAGACUAUGCUGGUCCAAGGCCAACAGAAAACUGUCCUGCACUAUGCUAACAGUUUUCAUGGGUGCAUCUAUAGCUGAAUAAUUUCCAAGGAUUUGUGCAAGUGUGUAAUACCACAAGCCACAUUAUGGUAUAUUCUCUCCAGGAUGAAUAAUUUUAUUAACCUCUUCUUUUUAUUUUGUUAAUUUAAGAAUGAAACAAAGCCAGGCAUUUUCCCUUGAUCUGCCUAGUUACAUACCCAAAUACUUGUUUACCACAAGUAGUUCCUUUAUAAUAAUAAUAAUAAUAAUAAUAAUAAUAAUAAUUAUGCAUAAUAAUUAUUAUUAAUUAUUAUUAUGCAUGCACGUGUGUAUAUGCAUAUGAUAUGUAUGUGUAGGGCAUCUGUGUACCACAGCGCACAUGUGGAUGUCAGAAAACAAUUUUGUGGAGUCAGUUUUCUCCUUCCACAUUUACACAUAUUCUGGGGAUUGAAUUCAGGUUAUCAGGCUUGUGUAGCAAAUGCCUCUACCCAUCUUGCUGGCCCCAGUAGUUAUUUAGUGAUCAUAUUUAAAUUACAUGAGUUAUUCUCAUUCUCCAGCUGGCAUUCCUCUUCUUAGUAACAUCUUAUUUAUACUUAAUGGUCACAAUGUUUUCUGAAUAUUCAUGAGGGAUUAUUAGAGACCUUUUAUUUUGUCUUCAUUUAUUUUCUUCAGCAUAAGUUCAGCCCUUCUUUGAAGGUCAUUUAUUGCUUGUAUUUCUGGAUCAUUCUCUUUCAUAUUACUUGGUUCGUUCAAUGCCAAGUGAUAUUUUUAUAUAAGUAGAAGAAUGUAGCAAUAUCCUUUGCAUGAUGGUAAGUUGGCUAGGAGCUGACCAUCACACAGGGAGGUCAGAAGGCAACAAAGCCAGUUUCUCCCACUUCAGAAUUUUCCCCAGACAAGAGGCUCUUCUUUUUUUUGGAAAUAAAAACUCUGGUUUUGGUUUUUGUUUGUUUGUUUUUUAACUUAGAAAAUGAAGGCUUGGCUUCUGAUGAUUCUUUCUAUAUGAGGGUGGGCAGGGGAGAGAAGGAGGACCUGAGCUGAGCUGAAGAGACUUCAGUGCUCAAAUCUCAUGUGCAUGCUGUCUGCGAAGCUCUCCUUCCCAGUCCCUCUUCUCCAACCCUGAUGAAUCAGAGCCAGCUUGUCUCGGGGGCCCGUCGGUUGAGCCAGAAGACCACUCUGCAUCUCAGGCCCUGACCAUCUAUUUGCUUUAAUGCCUCGACCAUCAUCCAUCUGCCUUCCCUGUUCUAAAGUUGGUUGAAAUUUCUCCCACUCAUUAGUGCUCUGAUACUGGCCUGGGUUUUUCCCCUUUGGCAUUACUGUCCAAAUAAUUUGCUUUCCCAAAACACAAAGUGAGAACUCUGUGUUUUUAAUUCAUUUAUAUAAAAGUUUCCUAGAAUGAAAGAACUAAUACAUUAAAAUUCAUGUGUGAUUUAGACACUUCCUUUUGCUUUGACUCAUUUUGAUAAAAAGAUAGUUCUAAAUUUUAUGUAGUUAUCUCUCAGUCUUUCCUAUAUUUCUAUUCUGUUACAUUUUUGAAAAAUUCUAGUUAUUUUAGGUGUUUGCUAUUGGAUUAUUACAGAUUCAUUUGUAUUGUUUAGGAUUUUUUCAGUGAUAUUGUCCAUUAAAUAUAUUUUGGUAUCGGAGAAUUCCCAAAAGAAAAUUCUUUUUGGUAAAAGUCUUUUCUCUAAACAAGAACUUAUGAUAUAUUUUAACUUAUGAAAAUAAGGAAGUUUUCACUUGAUUUCUUAUUUCCCUAGCCCUGCAUUUAAGGAUAUCUUUGGUUUAUGGAAGAUAAAUUUAAAAGUUCUGAUAUAUAAUGUAAAAUGAGUAAUAAAAUAGAUCUGAUACAUCACUUCCUAAAUAAUUAUAUUAAAAACCAAUUAUUGUUGUUUUUAUCCCCACUGGAUGGACAAAUCUUUUAAAAUGUUAAUCUGUUACACAGUAUAGAUUUUAUCUUGGAAAUAUCUUGGUGUUUCAUUUAGCUGUCUAAUUUUAUGCCCCAAAUCUAAUGUUUUAAUUAAUUUUGAAUCAUAUGCUUAUAGUUAUACAAACUGAUGUUAUUAUUAUUUGGCUCAGAAUUUCAGUAGCAUAUUAUUUCAAGGGGUAUUGGGAAAAAUUAUAAUCUUUGGAGGUGUUAUGAUUUCUCACUAUUUUGGAAUUCUGAGCCAUUAAUUUUGUUUUGAUUCUCUAAUACUGUAGUUAUUUUAGCCAAGUUGUCCCGACUUGAUGCAUAUGGAUAAAUAGCAUUAUGUUAAGUAUCUUAGCAUAAUUGUGAGUCUGUCAAUAUCUUUGUGGUGUUUUAAUUUUUUCCCUUUUAACUAUUUUGCUGUUUUGUCUCUGUUACUUGGCACUUAGUAUCAGUUCCCAUGUGAGGACUGGCCUGGGGUAGGCCGGAACAGGCUAUGGAGCCAUCCAGGCGGUUCUUAGGAAGACAGAUUGUUUUUUUGUUUGUUUGUUUGUUUGUUUGUUUUUGGGUUUUUUUUGUUUUUUGUUUUUUGUUUUUUUUUGGUUUUUCAAGACAGGGUUUCUCUGUGUAGCUUUGCGCCUUUCCUGGAACUCACUUGAUUGUGAGAUGAAGACCUGGGAGAUUAUUUGAUGAGGAGAGGCUGGAAGUGCCCCAAACCCUGUAGAUGCCAAGGCUGUCAUAAAAAGGGAGGUUAGUGCCAGGUAGUUAAAGACAAAAGACAUAGGAUUGAUGAGAAUGGGGCCAGAAGACUAAGUGGCCAGCAUGGAAGCUGGUAUGUAUUUUGACCAGUCAUGUGACUAGCCUUCAGCAAUACCAAAAGAGAAACCACGGUGGGAAUGACUUUGUCCUUGCUUGUCUGGGGUGAUGUCACAUAACUGAGGUAGCUUAUAUAAAAGUUGAGGGUUCCAAGGAAGAAAUCUUUCUUACCGAAUCUAAUGAGAGCCAGGAAGUUCUGAAGCGGAAGAGCUCUUGCCUCCUGUGUGCAGUGCUUUCUCAAGGACCUUCUGAAGACCAAAGCUCAUUUUUUAAAACCCCUGGUUUACAUGCAUCCCAUGCUUUGUACACUUCACAUGUAUGCACAGGUUUUUGCAGCAUUUUUCUUUAAAAUAAUAUUCCACCACAGAUCCCCACACUCCGGUGGAUGGUCCCACACACAUGCAUGUAAGGGCAACACUAACUGGACUUAGUGGAUUAUAAAAACAAACAAACAACAACAACAAAACCUAGGAAGUUGCUUUUGACCAAGCAGGUCCCAGCAGUAGCAUCCCUUAUUGGUGAGCAGAUGUCUCCAACCUUGUGUCUCCACCCAGCUUUGUGCUCAGCUACGAACUGCCUUUGUGUCCUGGUUUGCUGUAGCUUAACUAGUCAGUGCACAAGGAAAGCCAAUAACCUCCACAAAACAUGGUCAAGCUUAGCACAUUUCAUUUCUAAUUCUAUAGUUAAUUUCAGAAUCAUUUUACUGCUUUGCUGACAUGACAGCAUUUGACUAAUUUUUCUUUCAAAGAACUAGUAAACCUUAAUUUCCUACAGAAGCAUUGAAUGGAUUUCUGUCUCUUUCCACUGACUUUCAACUCAUGUAAUUUAAAAGCUAAAUGUGAACUGUAAAACUCAAUCAAUUUGGUAGUAUUCUUUUAAUAUCAAUUUUUAUAUAAUUAGCCCCCAAACUGUGUUCAAUUACUAACAAUUAAUCCUAUGCACUUACAGGACAACACUAAUUUCACACUUAGCAGCAUUUAAAAGGAAGGUGGUGUGGAUCCCACAGAGGAAAAGUCCUCCCCUAAGGAGCUAAGCUUUGUUACACAGAGUAGACGAUGAAAGUGUUUUCCAUCACAAUCCACUAUAGGGGCCCAUGUUUCCCUCAGCAAACACACAAGCAGAAUCAUACAUUCUUUAGUUACAGCUUUCAGUGGGAUGGCCAGCCUCUUAAAACAGAUUCUGGAUUUUAUGUUUUCUUUUGACAGUCUUCUUGAGUUAGUAUUUUUAUCAAUGCUGUAUACUUAACUGUUCUACUGAGGCUGGCUGUGAGAAGCCAGACAAUGGAACCAUAACAGGACAAAGACUGAGAACGACAGUCAAAGGCAGAAAAUUGUGCAAAACUCGUUACGAAAAAAUUCCCCUUAGAAAUCAGGAAAAGCUGGCUCGCAAGUACACUCAGUAGUUGAGAAUGCUUGCUGCUCAAGCAUAUGGACCUGAAUUCAGAUGUCCAGCAUACUCAUAAAAAGAUGCACACAACCAUGCAGCUUUUUUUAAACUCUGGUGUUGUGGGGGGAGAUGUACAGGGACAAGAGCAUCCCUGGGGUGUGCUGACAGCCAGUCUAGCAUUUAAGGUGAGUUCUGGGUUUGAUGAGAGACCUUCUCAAGGGAAUAAGGAGGAAGAAUAAUAGGGCAGGGUACCCAAUAGCCUCCUCCAGCCUCCCCAUCCAUGUAUGCAUAUGCCAUGCAUUAACUUCCAAUAUAAAAUAAAAAUUAAAUACAAAUUAAAUCAAGAAAUAUUAAAAUUAGGACAAAUUUAGUGCAUUUAAGAUAUAACAGUGUUAUAGCACUUGCCUAAUAUUCACAAAGUGCUGGGUUCAUGUGGUGAUAUAUUGUGUACCCUAAUAAACUUAUCUGGGGAUAAAGGACAGAGCCAUCCACUAAAGUAGACAUAGAGGCCAGACAGUGGUGGCACACACCCUUAAUCCUAUCACUUGAGUCAGAGACCUAUCUGGAUCUCUGUGAGUUCAAGACCACACUGGAAACAGAGCCAGGCAGUGGUGGCACACACCUUUAAUGCCAGUACUGGGAAAGCACGCAUGCUUUUAAUCCCAGGAAGUGAUGGUAGGGUGGAGAAAGAUGUAUAAGGUGUGAGGAAACAGGAGCUAAAGCAGUUCAGCUGAGAUCCUUUUGGGUGAGGACUCAGAGGCUUUCAGUCUGAGGAAACAGGAUCAGCUGAGGAGUUGGCAAGGUGAGGUGGGCUAUGGCUUGCUCUGUUUCUCUGAUCUUUCAGCUUUCACCCCACUCUUGGGGUUUUUAUUAAAAGACCAUCUAGGAUUCGAACAACAUCUGGCAUCCAACUUGUGGGGCACGAAUUCAUGAAAAAGCCAUUUACCUGGGGCUUAGGCCAGAGCUAUAUAUGGCCGGAAUCUCUACCCUGCCUGGGCUGGGAGUCCCUAAUACACUGGCAGCAGACUCCCCAGGCUCAAGCUUCAAACACCCCAGAAUUAGCUGUUUUCACACGUUCCCCAAUGCAGAAAGCUGGCUUUUUGGCUUCUUUCCUCUCCUGGUGGGUUCUGGAUUUCCUUGGGCUCCGUCCUCAGGCUGCUGCCACCAUCAUCUGAAUCAUCAUUAUCAGCAGAUUUGGUGAGUCAAUUAAGAUUUCUUAAAGGGAGGAAUUAGUUAAAAGAAAGCUUUUUCCCACAUUAAAAAAUGGGAAACAUUUUUACAAUAGAGUGAAUUGGGUUUCUGUUUGAUAAUACAAUUGAUGGUCUAAAAAUGUAACAGUUAAAUGAGAGAAUAAUUAAUGUGGAUGGGAUUUAUGUAAUGUCAAUCAUAAAUAUUAUUUGUUUGAUCAUUUUUGUUUUAUAAUGAAAAAAGUUGGUUAAUAUGAGUGCCAAGAUAAAAAUUUUAGAAAAACUUGUUAAAACAGAUCAUAGAGAAAUUCAGACCCAGACAGAGGAAUUUAAAUGUGAACCAAUCUCAUCAUUGGCUACAGAGAAACAGCCUAAGGCUUUCAAACAGACAACCUUAAUCUAUCCAGUAACCUUACAAGAACUGCCAAAUGCUCAAGGCUGUGUAUAAAUAACUGGACUCCUAUGCAAAUGUUAGAUUUGAGGAGAUUUAAAGAUGCUAUAGUGUCAUAUGGUAUGCAUUCCCCAUUUGUGAAGCAGAUGUUAAACUCAUGGUCAAUUUGCAAUAGAAUUAUCCCUCAAGACUGGAGAGAGUUGGUUACAGAUAUUUUAGAAGCUGGUCCACAAUUACAAUGGAGGACCUGGUGGAAGGAUGAGGCUAAGACCAUUAAACGAUGGAGCAGGGCUAAAGGUAUGGAAAUCCUCCAAGAUCAACUUCUUGGAGAAUAAGAUUAUGCUAAUGUAGAAAGGCAAUCUCCAUAUGAUGACCACACCCUAGCUUUAUGCCAGAUGGCAGCCUUAAAUGCUUGGGAAAGAAUUAAAGAAGUAGGAAAGAAAAUUGAGUCAUUUAUAAAAGUUAUACAUGGCCCAAAAGAAACCUUCACUGAUUUCUUACAAAGGCUGUUUUCAGCAGUAAAUAGAAUGAUGCCAAAUUCAGAAGCUAAACAGAUAUAAUUGAAUCUCUGACUUUUGAAAAUGCUAAUGCACAAUUCAAAAUGUGUAAUUAGGCCGUUAAAAGCAAGAUCAACACUCUUGGAGAAAUGGAUCCGAGAUACAUUGAAUCUCAUGACCAUGAUGAUACUUGGAUAGUAGAGGUGAUAUCUAGAGGUUUGAAGAAAAAUAGUAAUAUCAGAUGUUUCAAAUGUGGUAAACAAGGUCACCUAAAAAGGGACUGUAAACAGGGCAUCCCUAGAAACAAUGUUUAUUCAAGGAACAAUGGCAACAGAAUGCUGCUCCCUUCUGGAUUAUGCAGAAGGUGUGGCAAAGGCAAAUAUUGGACUAAUGAAUGUAGAUCAACAAGAAACAGACAAGGUAAUCAUUUUCCUUUGCCACCAGGAAACUUCCUGAGGGGCCUCUCACAGGCCCCCAUUACAAAUUAUGUUCAGUCCUUUCCUGUCACCAUGGAAGAAAAUCCUUCACAGAGCAAUUAAAGAACCUAAUGCCUGUUGUAAAAAACUAUACUGCUCUGAAUGAUAGAACAGCUAAGAGAAGAGAAAACAAAAAAUUCAGAAGAAACCAUAAAUCAAAAUUGAUAAAGAUAAGAUUUGGAACUCCCCCCAAUGUUAUGGUUGGGGAAAGGUUUUGUUUUUGUCUUUCAGGGAAAUAAAGGCAUCCAGCUAAGGAAUCUGAAAAACACUGGACAAAUGAGACAUCUGAAGAAAAAGGAUGAAUCAUCCAGAAAAAAAUGUCCCACAAAAAAGAUUUUCUACAGUGAACCAUGACCACGUCUAACAGUGACUUUGAAGUUUCCCAAAAGAUGAUGGGACCCCAUAACAAUGAUUCCAUCAGGAUAAUACCACUAAGCUGACAAAUACCACCCAAAGAUAGGCAUUGGACUACAAUUGCUCAGGACAAUGGCUAGCUGAGAUGAUCCAGCUUCACAGACUACUCAAGCAAGGACUUGAGACAAGCCCUGCACUUUCCCAUUAAGCAGAGACUAUACAAAUGAUGCAGCAACUCUCCCAGGACUUGACAAUUAAACCAAAAAUUUUCUUUUCAGGAUUCCCUAAAGAUGCCUUUGCCCCCAGACAGCAGGAAGUAAUUUUAAGAACAUGAAGCCCACAUUCCCAAGAGGUGGGGUGGGUGGUAUUUGGUCAUUCAAUGGGUUAUGGGUAAUUAUCGUUGUUUAGGGUGUUUAAUUACAAAGGAAAUUAGAUUAAGUGUUCUUGUUUGAAAAAAGAAAGGAAGAAAGAAAGAAAAAGAAAGGAAGGAAGGAAGAAAGAAAGAAUAAAAGAAAGAAAGAAAAAAGAGGCUAUAGAUAAGAUGUAGAUUAUUGAAUAUACUCUGAAAAAAAUAAAGAUAUAGAAAUGAUGAAUAAAGGGUAGAUUAUUGAAUCUACUCUGAAAAGGAAAAAAGAGGAUAUAGAUAUGAUAAGAUAAAAGGUAGAUUAUUGAAUUUACUCUGAAAAAAAGAGAAUACAACCAUAAUAAGAUAAAAGUGUAGAUUAUUAAAUCUACUUUUAAAAUGCAACUACUAGUUUUAAAUAUUUUACAUUGGAUUUUUAUAUAUUGUAUAUAAAUUAUGUAUAUUGAUACAAAUUUGAAAUGAAUUUUGUUAGAAAAUAGUGUACUUAUAUUUCUAAUCUUGUUCAAGGUAUUGUACCUAUAUAGCUCAUUUAACAAUCUAAUGCAAAUUGCUAGUCCUUGAAAGUUAUUAUUACCAACUAAUUAGAAUAUAAAAAAUUACAAGUUAGUAUUUAGUCAUCUAUUACAAUCGAAUUUGUAGGCAUAUUAGGUAUGUUUUCAAGGUCAAACAGAAAUAUAUUUUAGAUAAACAGGUCAUCUUCACACACUUCAGAGAUCUACAGAAUAUGACAUUUAAGAUGUUUUAAUAACAGAUAUUUUCUUUUUUUUAUGACUAUGAGAUGUGUCUGCUCCUGGCAGCACCAAUCCACUUCAGAGAAGCUGAUGGGCACUGAAGAAACUCCAUAUGGAGUUUACUUUCAUUGUGGCAAAAGCUAGCCACUGGGCAAGAAAGUGCCCUUGCCUGAACUGUAGGACACAAAAGAAAGGACUGCUGAACCUUGCCAAGACAAGAUAGGAAGGCCCUUCAGAAAAUUCUGCUUCACAGAUGAGUCUGUCAGAUAUGCUAAGCCUGUAGGCUGAAGAUGGAUACCCCAAUGUUACAGAUAAAUCUUGGGUGACCGUCCAGGCAGCCAGCUUUUUCUGUCAUUUCUCACAUUUUUUGAAAGUCGCUUAUUUGCACUUCCUGCAUGCUUAGGUAGUAUUAUUUCCUUAUUGGGUCUCUGAGGGAGCUGAAGAUUAGAUAGUUAUAGUUUUCUUUGUUAACAAAUUCAGAAAAGAAACUCACUAAAGAGGUGUAAAGUGUAUAAGUUUGAAAGACAUCAAAAGAUAGUUUUUGGUUGGUAAUACAAGUUAGGACAGAAAGUGAAUUAGGUACAACAUUUUGGACUCACCAAAAUAGAAUAAUUAAUGGAGUUUUUUGUUUGAAUUUGUCAAAUGUUAAUGGACUGGACAUUGUUAAUAUAAAUCUUGACAGUACUUAUUGUAUAUACUUGUACUUAUUGUAUGUAGUUUUUCUUAUAUUAAUUAUAACCUUCUUUUAUUCUUUUAGACACAAAAGGGGAAAUUGAUAUAUUAUGUACCUCAAUAUAUUGUGUACCCUAAUAAACUUGCCUGAGGAUCAGAGGACAGAGCCAACCACCAGAUUAGACAUAGAGGCAAGACAGUGGUGGCACACACCCUUAAUCCUAUCACUUGAGUCAGAGACCCAUCUGGAUUUCUGUGAGUUCAAGGCCACACUGGAAACAGAGCCAGGCAGUGGUGGCACACACCUUUAAUUCCAGUACUAGGAAGCACAUAUGCCUUUAAUCCCAGGAACUGAUGGUAGGGCAGAGAAAGAUAUAUAAGGCGUGAGGAAACAGGAACUGAAGCAGUUCAUCUGAGAGGCUUUCAGUCUGAGGAAACAGGAUCAGCUGAGGAGUUUGUGAGGUGAGGUAGGCCGUGGCUUGCUCUGUUUCUCUGAUCUUUCAGCUUUCACCCCAGUAUCUGGCUCCAUUUUUUUGUUAAAAGACCAUCUAAGAUUCAAACAACAGGUUCAUCAUCCACCUUCCCCACAAGGACUGAACUAAUACAUUUAGUCCAUAUCUGAUGCAAACAUAUAAUAAUGCUACAUGGUUUUUCUAAUGUAGACCAGGCUACCCUUGAACUCAUAGAGAUUUAUCUGCCUGCCUCUACCUCCCACAUGCUAUGAUUAAAGGCGUGUGCUAUCACACCCAGGUAUUUUACCUUUCUAAUAGUAGCAAUGUCCAAAUGACAAAUAAAUUUUGUUAUUUUUACUGAUCAGUAUGUACCUAAGUACUUUCUCCUGACAUGUGGUGUGUGAAGAUAACAUCAUCACAUCUGAAUCCUAUAAUGAUAAUUUUCACCUGAAAUAUUAAAAGGUAUCCCAAUAAUUCAAGAUCAAAUACAAUGAAUAAGCACAGGUUUGAAUUGUCAUCUUGUGCCAAAAAUGAAAGGCACACAUAUCGAACUGUGUGCCUGGUGCUCAUGAAAAGAUGCACAUACUUUUGUGCACUUCGGUAUUUCACAGCUUGGGCCCUUUAGGUGCUUCCUGUUAGUAACUGGUUGAUGAGGACCUGUAGUCAAAUUUAAUAUUUUGUAAUUCAUAUUAAGAUAUGCAAAUUGUGAGCAUAUUAUACAUUUUUUAAAUUGUAGGAACAAUUUAUAGUACAAAGUGGUAUUGCUCAAGGGCCCGAACAGUGACCUAGGAGCACAGAGUUCUGUAUGUUAAUUUUGAUUGUCAGUGUGACCACAUGUAUAGCAUCCUACUCUCCUUUUAUUUUCCAUUAUCCCUUUCUAACAUGAGUACAGCAACUUUCUUGAAUAGUUGGAAAUGAGUUCAUGAAUAACGGAGAGUGGCUAAAAUCAACACACACACACACACACACCAUUGUGAGACCGGUAAGAGUCCAAAAACUUUAUCGACAUUUUAGACAUUGUCACACUUUACAGACAUAAUGAUAAGAUUAAUUACCCACUGAGACGAGUAUAUGGAAGCCACCAUGUCUAAAUCUGGAAAGUUUAUUAAAGUACGUAUAACUUAAGAAAUGGGAUGUUUGUAACAGUUUUCAAAACUUCUAUCAGAAUUCAUCAUUAAAUGAACUUUACCUUU